UACGGAGGGUGCAAGCGUUAUCCGGAUUCACUGGGUUUAAAGGGUGCGUAGGUGGGCAGGUAAGUCCGUGGUGAAAUCUCUGAGCUUAACUCAGAAACUGCCGUGGAUACUAUUUGUCUUGAAUGUUGUGGAGGUGAGCGGAAUAUGUCAUGUAGCGGUGAAAUGCUUAGAUAUGACAUAGAACACCAAUUGCGAAGGCAGCUCACUACACAAUUAUUGACGCUGAGGCACGAAAGCGUGGGGAGCAAACAGG
rnacentral:rRNA from 1 species